rnacentral:lncRNA from 1 species
AAGUAUUACCAGUGAAAUGGGCAUUUCGUAUUGAUAUACUCCAUGCCUUACAGGGAUUUGACCCAUUGCGGUGGACUUUCCUAUGAAUUACUAUGUGAAGAGGCACAAGCUCUGCUUCUCCACGGCUAACAGUCUCCUCCUGGCUAGUGUCACUGCUUUAAACUUGGCUUUGCUAAGUAGUUUUGGGUUCCUUUUAAAUGCAUUUGCCACCUUAGUGUAAAGAAUACUGACUCAUGGCCGGUGGGUGUGGUCCCUCUGUCACGGAUCUCAAAGCCUGCUGAGUCAGACAGUGACACUGAAGACAGAAGUGUUCGUUUCAGAAACUCCCAGCCUGCAGGACUCAGGAGUCAUGGGGCUGGCAGAUGCAGGUUGCAUAAAGUGUACGCAGAAGAGGUCAUGCCCCCAAGGACGUGAGGGAGCACAGACACAUGUAAGGAGCUAGAGUCCUCGGCAGCGGCUGUUGCUGGUCAUUCUCCGUACCAUUCUGCUGAGCAGCUUCCAGGCAGCUGUCGUCACUGUGAUAUCCAGUUGAAUGCAUACCUAUCCUCCAAACACACUUUGCUGAGUAGACAAGAGGAGAGUGGUCCAUUGAGAUUGACUAUACAUCUACUGUGUUUCUUAUGGACAAAUUUGAACAUGUUUACAUUCAUUUACAAAGCCACUCUGGAAAGUUCACUCCUUAAUGAAAUGAACACCUAUGAUCACCACAAGCCUCAAAGAACAAGAAAUGGAAUAUGAAAGAAGAAGAGAAAAAUGAACAGAAGGAACUGGAGCGUACUUUAAUUGCAUGCAUAGUUUUUAAAAGGAGCUGGUGGCCACAUACACAGUUUACAAAAGCAUUAAGUCUAGAUGGCUGGAGGAGACUUACAAAGCAUUAGAUAUAUGGUGGUUACUUGCUUCUCUCUAUUUCUCUGUGGGAUGACUAAUACCUAUCCCAUACAGCUUUGACAAGGAUGAGAUUGUCUUUUGUUUGUUUGUUUGUUUUUUGUUUUUUGUUUUUUGUUUUUCGAGACAGGGUUUCUCUGUAGCUUUGGAGGCUGUCCUGGAACUAGCUCUUGUAGACCAGGCUGGUCUCAAACUCACAAAGAUCCACCUGCCUCUGCCUCCCAAGUACUGGGAUUAAAGGCGUGUGCCACCAACACCCAGCGAGAUUGUCUUUUUUAAAGAUUUCUUUAUUAUGCAUGCAGUACUCUGCCUGCAUGCAUGCCUGCAGACCAGAAGAGGGCACCAGAUUUCAUUACAGAUGGUUGUGAGUCACCAUUUGGUUGCUGGAAUCAAACUCAGGACCUCUGGAAGAGGAGCCAGUGUUCUUAACCACUGAGCCAUCUCUCCAGCCCCAAGGAUGGGAUUGUAUAAAGGAUACAAAAUGCCUACAUCAAGAGCCCAUAUCCGUCCAUUAAGAUUUCUUACUGGGUGUGUAAUAUGUGUUAAAUACCAAGGAUUCACUGGUGAGCAAAAUAAAACUCUG